GCAGCCAUUCCUCCCCUCUCCCUGGCAUGAUAAAGCCAUCCCUGAAGUGGCAGUGUGGUUUAUCCCACCACCUCCUCAUUCCCAGCCCUCUUUCCUGAGGGUUUCCACAAUAAAAGCCCUGCUGGGGGAACUGGGGUCAGCCCCACUGUUGGUGUCCCAGUAACAGAGGGAUGGAAAAGGACAGAUUGUGCAUCCAAGCAGUUGGCUGGGGGAUGUCCUGUCCCACAUUGGGCUGGAGAAGGUUCUGCAGCCCCAUCCAGGGAUGCUGCAGCAGGCACAGCCAAGAGCCUCACUCAUUUAUUGUUAUUUUCUUUUCCUUUGCAGGCACUGAAAAUUGCUGCGUGGGAAGUGUCUGAAGGUGAUGAAUGGCUUUGCUAUGUUUGCCAAGGAGAUGUUUUCCUUUGAUGGGCACCAAAACACCUGGGCUUGCCCUUCCUGGCUGGAAGAGUGAAAUUCCCUAAAACAGCUCACAAAUACAGGCCAAAUCAGUAGUUUCAGGAGAAAAAGAGGAAGGCUGUAGGUGCCAUUGCAGAGGAGGGGAGAGGCCAGGCUCAGCAGUCUGAGAUGGUUCUUCAAGGCAUUCCAGCCCCAGCAGCAUCCUGUGGUGAGAAGUUCCCUGGAUGAACACACAGCCUUAGCUCACCUCUGCCGGGGCAGGGACCUGGCACUAGAGCAUCACCAGUAAUUUUCCAUCUGUCUCCACGCUGUGGAAAUACACCCAGGCAUGGAAAAAGCCUAGAAGGGAAUAAAGAAGACACUUGGCCAGUAGAGCUUGGCCGGCUCCCAGCUCAAGGAACGGCUUCAGGUUCAUCCCCAUCUCUCCAGUGCUUGGCAGGCUUGGCUGUCUCAGCUCCUACAAACGGGACAGGCCAGCAGCAUUCCUGCCAAAACCCCGGGUGCUCCUGCUCCAACAACUCCCUGCACCCACGGGUUAGCUGCAUGACAAAAAGGGGGGAAAGUGGCCUUUUUGUGGGGUUUGGUUGGGAUUUUUUCCUUCUCACCGCAGAGAAAAGGAGAAGGAAAUACUUGGCACGGAGGGCGGAGCUGAGCGAGGGGGAGCUCAGGGACAGCGGGGAUGUGGCAGUGGGAGGCGAGUGGGCUCUUUAUGAGGCUUUAAUUACUCCAGCCAAAACCCACAUUAGCCUGAUGAGUGAAAAGAGGUUUUUACGAGGGCAAUAAGAUGUCCCAGCCUGCCGGGGCGGUGAUUGCCUGCCCGUGGCCUCGGGCUCUCCGAGGAGCCUCUGGUGCUCCUGCUGCAAUUCGACUCCAGCCCGGCAAGAGGGUCCGGCCGUUUCCCAACCUCGCGGUGCUAAUCCCUCUUACCUCAGUGGUGCAGCAAUAACCCCCGGAGCCACCACCACCUCCCACUGCCGGCGGCUGCAGAGCACACUAUGUUCCCAGACAAGGCUCCUCACACCCUGCACAGCCCCGGCAAACAAGGGCGGCUUCCCAAAUCCCAUGAGCAUCCUUCCCCCAGCAGCUUUCCUUGGAAAACACCCUCGAAGAGUCACUGUUCCCAGCCCACUUCCUUGAAAACUCAGGUUGCUGUGAAAAUGGUGGUGAAACAGGCUGGGAAGGGGGCACCAAGGGCAGAGUGACUGAGGUCUGUGAUACCCUCAUGAGUCCAGAGAAGAUAAGUGAUGAGAGGGUGGUGACUCACUGCCUCUUGUGCAAAACCCAGCACCAUCCAAUGCAUCCAGCAUGUCUGAAGAUGUUUCUCCAUAGGAUUUCUCCUGAUACGAGAGGAUGAGGGUGCCUUCAAAAAGCAAUUCCUGGAAGAGGAAGCCACCCAGGACACCAAGACCACUCACUCUGCUGAGUGUAGAAGCUCAUUGAGGUCUGAUGUUUUCCUGGGAUCCUCUGCUUCAGCCAAUGGUUGUGGAGGAAGGAAACCCAUCAGCAAGGUGUUGCUCCCACAUCCAGGGGAUAGGAAGUUCCUGGAGACAGGCUGGCCAAAGGUUGGCCAAGCUGCAGCGUCAGACCUGAGCAGGGGCAGGAGGGGGUUAUUUGGUAGAGAUGGUCAUGAAGAAAACAAGAUAUCCCCUUUCCCAAGGUGGCUGAAGGGAGCUGAAGACACCAGGAUUUAGCCCCUGGGAAGAAUGAGUCAGUCACAGGGGUGACCACAAGGAUCUGUUAUCACAAGGAUCUGCUAUCAGUUGAAAAUCUGUCUCAUGAGGGCAUCAAAGCAGCUCCUUGUGUGCCAACAGGAAGGGGGAAGGGAAGGAAAAGAGGACAAAGAUCCUUAGUGCCAGGCAAGGAGAGUUCUGUGGCCCCCAGCUCCUCUGGGAUGGUGCAGGAGGGGGUUCAAAGCCCUGUGUCCUUCCAUUUGAGAGCUUCUUCAGCCCAUCCUGGCAGCCCAGGGGCUGGGGGAGCUGCGAGGGGAAGGUCUCACUCUGACAGCUCCACGGAGCCAGAGCUGGGCCCAGCAUGUGUUACUCACCUUGAAACUAUGUGAGUAAACAGAGAAGUCUCCUCUUCCUGGUCCCACCUGCAAUUAGGCUGCAGACUGGAGCCUGAAUCCACCCUGGUAGAUCAUGGGGAUGCUCUGCUCUCUCCUCUGCUGAAUCCUCAGGCCAAGCCACCCAGGAGAGGAGGAUGGUGAAGCUCCAGUUGGCCUCCUGGACCAUCCUCUUCUAUAUGGAGCUUCUUGGAGAUGUCCCACCAGGAGGAAAACACCCCUUUCCCAUCACUUCUGGUGUUUUUAUGUGGGAAUAAAUCACAUGGGACUCCAUUUUUUUCAUGGUGGAAAAAGCCCAUUCUUUAUUCACGUAACUCCUUUUUAUACAGUUUUACAGACCUCAGGGGUGACUCCAGUGGGUUAGUAGCUUUCUUGUCAAUUAUUGAUUAAUAACAAGUUAUUAUUCUGUAUUGAUUAGUCACUCAAACCCCCGGGGUGUACGUGCAGGAAAAGUUGUUUGUGAGAGAUAGUUUCAUUUUUCUAUCUAAUGGUGUAAAAGCAGUUUAUACAGGUGGCAGUUGUUUUUCACCCAGGAAUAGAUUGUUAUGCUAACAAACUGCUCACAACAGGACUGCUUUCACAUGGGAACUUGCAAAGUGCCUUAGAAGGAAUGACAGGCUAGCCAGGGCAGGCCUGAUUUUAUGAAGGCUUUCUUUAUGAUUUUUCUACCUUACUGCAACCUUUUUAUAACCUGUAUCACCAUUUUUUGUUGCUGAGCAGCAGCUACACUGAUGGCUGUGACAUGGGGGAAGUGGAGCCAACUGAGAAGAACUCAGUUGAGAGACUCAGCACCAGCUGAGAAGAAGAAGAGAUGAUCCCACAGGAAAGGGACCUUCCUGCUGGCCCAGCAAAAGCCUCUGAGCUCCAGGGAUUUAAUGGCCACCACUGCAAUCAUGUGUCCCACUGGCUCCUGACACCUUCCACUCAGGUCCUUGGGGUUCCCAGAGAGGCUUGGAAAACCUUCUCUGUGGAAAACCUUCAUCCAUCUUGGUGUCUGUGGAAAACCUUCAUCCAUCUUGGUGUCCUCUUCCCUACCAGUGCCUAGAGGAAGAGGAGAGACCACUCUGGACCAUCCCCUAGAGGGAAGAGACCAGCCUGCAGAGCAGCACUGGAGCCAGCCCAAGGCCAGGGAGUCUUGAAGAAGACUGAAGGGUUUCCAGGAUUGACAGUGGUUUCUGCAGGCAGGAGAGUGAAUAAAAUGGUCAAAUUCCUCACAA